CGAACGAGAAAUUUUGCCUUCGGGCGAGAGAGUAAAGUGGCGCACGGGUGAGUAACGCGUGGAUAACCUGCCCUUUAAUCUGGAAUAACUUCGCGAAAGCGUUGCUAAUACUGGAUAUUGUCCUUUAAGCAGUAGUCUUUAGGAUAAAAGGUGACCUAUUCUUGAAAGUUGUCGUUAGAGGAGGGGUCCGCGUACCAUUAGCUAGUUGGUGGGGUAAUGGCCUACCAAGGUUACGAUGGUUAGCUGGUCUGAGGGGAUGAUCAGCCACACUGGAACUGAAACACGGUCCAGACUCCUACGGGAGGCAGCAGUGAGGAAUUUUGCGCAAUGGGGGAAACCCUGACGCAGCAACGCCGCGUGAGUGAAGAAGGUUUUCGGAUCGUAAAGCUCUGUCGAGUGGGAAAAAGGUUUAAUAUAAAUAGUAUUAAAAAUUGAUGGUACCACUAGAGGAAGCACCGGCUAACUCCGUGCCAGCAGCCGCGGUAAUACGGGGGGUGCAAGCGUCAUUCGGAAUUACUGGGCGUAAAGAGCGUGUAGGCGGGAUGAUAAGUCAGAUGUGAAAGCCCUGGGCUUAACCCAGGGAGUGCAUUUGAUACUGUCAUUCUUGAGUAUGGGAGAGGAGAGUGGAAUUCCUAGUGUAGAGGUGAAAUUCGUAGAUAUUAGGAGGAACAUCCGUGGCGAAGGCGACUCUCUGGACCAAUACCGACGCUGAGACGCGAAAGCGUGGGGAGCGAACAGGAUUAGAUACCCUGGUAGUCCACGCCGUAAACGAUGAGAACUAGGUGUAGCGGGUAUUGACCCCUGCUGUGCCGCAGUUAACGCAUUAAGUUCUCCGCCUGGGGAGUACGGCCGCAAGGCUAAAACUCAAAGGAAUUGACGGGGACCCGCACAAGCGGUGGAGCAUGUGGUCUAAUUCGACGCAACGCGAAGAACCUUACCUGGAUUUGACAUCCUUUGCUACCCCUGGAAACAGGGUUUUUCCGACUUGUCGGAACAGAGUGACAGGUGCUGCAUGGCUGUCGUCAGCUCGUGUUGUGAGAUGUUGGGUUAAGUCCCGCAACGAGCGCAACCCUUGUUUUUAGUUGCCAUUAUUAAGUUAGGCACUCUAAAGAUACUGCCUCGGUUAACGGGGAGGAAGGUGGGGAUGACGUCAAGUCCUCAUGGCCUUUAUAUCCAGGGCUACACACGUGCUACAAUGGGCUGUACAAAGGGUUGCAACACCGCGAGGUGAAGCUAAUCUCAAAAAGCAGUUCUCAGUUCGGAUUGGAGUCUGCAACUCGACUCCAUGAAGGUGGAAUCGCUAGUAAUCGUGGAUCAGCAUGCCACAGUGAAUACGUUCCCGGGUCUUGUACACACCGCC
rnacentral:rRNA from 1 species